UACGAAGGGGGCUAGCGUUGCUCGGAAUGACUGGGCGUAAAGGGCGCGUAGGCGGAUGGCUUUGUCGGGCGUGAAAUUCCAGGGCUCAACCUUGGGGCUGCGUUCGAGACGGGCGAUCUUGAGUUCGGAAGAGGGUCGUGGAAUUCCCAGUGUAGAGGUGAAAUUCGUAGAUAUUGGGAGAACACCGGUGGCGAAGGCGGCGAUCUGGGCCGGA
rnacentral:rRNA from 1 species